AGCGCUUUUUUCUUCUCGUCCCGCAGAUUGCUGAAUAAACCUACAUUUUCCCGCUGGUUGACAAUAUCGUAGAAUAUAAUUUAUUAUCAACUCUUGUGAAGAAGCUAGCGUAACAUGACUAUGCCAAUUGCAUAACCGGAAGUAUUUGCCAUAAGUUCUCCACCGAAGUUUUGCCGCGAGUAUUGUCAGGAAUAUUUAAUUGGUAGAAUGAAAUUAAUUGGUAGAACGAAAUCAAGAUCAUUCUACGAUUUUUCGAUUGGGAUGGAAUUACUUAAAAACGAAAGAUAUUGUGAUUUAUAAGAGAAAUCGAGAUAAUUACUCUUACAAAGGAAGAGGAUAUUACGAAAGAAAGAAGAUUAAAAUAAUUAUGAAAAAGACUAAGAGAAAAUCGAAGCAAGAAAUGAUCGAAUAAAACCUUUUUUUAUAGGAGAUUUGUGGAUAACUUCAAAUCACGGUAGUUUAAUACCCCUAAAAAAGUGGUUUGACUCCCUAAAAUAUUGAAAAGAAGCGCUUAAAUAUCCCUCAUGACAAAUUUGCGCAGCUGCAGCAAAACGAUAAUGACAGCAUGUAGUAAAGGAAUGCGCUGUUAGAUAGAUAGCUGUCAUAUAUAGAGAUGACGUAUGCUUGCAUAUGGAAGAACAGAAAAAAAUUGAUUAAAGUAUAAAGAUAUGAAAGCGGGAUUGAAUCGAUUGGAUACAUACGAGGAUCUAGAAAUGCUCGAUGACCUAGGGACAAACAGUAUCCGGAAUGCUGCAAAUCGAGAUCAAAGAUUCUUAAAAUUUAAAAGGGC